ACAUACCCCUUGGAUAUGUCUAACAAAAAUUUUGGACCAAAUUGCCCCCGUCUUCUUCCUUUGCCUCCCCCAUCUCUCCUGUUCUGUUGUUCAUCUUCUUCCUCCCGUUUCUUGCUGCUGUGAGAUUAGGAGUACACAGUAAUAGUCACUUUGUCAGGAUCAUGCACAAGCAGGGCCGGCCCUAGGGGGGGUCAGCCCGUGCGCACGCCCGAGUCCCCCAAAAUUUAGGGGGCCCCAUGGCGGAUGGGCCAUGGCCCACGACGCCCCCAGGGUCAGCAUCGCUCUCAGUCCUGAAUCAUGUAUGGUAUCGAAGACAGAAGACGAAGAGGAGCGAAGGAAAAGUGAAGCGAUCUGACUCCGUUCCCGUCGCCUCGAUCACGCCUCGCGUCGCGUUGCAAACGGUAAACGGCGGCAAACCGCAACGCAAACACGGCAAUCGGCAGCAAAUCGCAGCGGCUCUGCAUGACUGGCUGACUACGUCGAUUGGAGGCCAACCGCCCGGCGGCGCGCCCUCAUCGGCCGAUCGGCUGCUCGCGCCUCGCAGUCGUCGUCUAAGUUUAUGUAUAUAUAUAGGGGCCUCCACGUAAGUUUUUGUCCUAGAGCUUGAAAACUCAGGACCGGCCCUGUGCACAAGGCGCGCUCGUCGACGAGCACGUAAUCGGUGGACGUGGACCACGCCAUGGUGAAGCCGCUGUAGGCGAAUGACUCCAGCUGCACCGACAGGGGCACGUCCUUGGGCGUCCGGGUGCUGGACAUUCAAGAACGACAUGCUCCGCGUCUUGGUUGUUGCAGUAGACCUCGGGGAGGCUGGAAACUGAGAAGGUGGUGAUGCGGCCAGCGAAGGGAAGAAGGGAAACUAGAUGGUGCAGCACAACACCGCCGUUGCUGGCCGAGAAAGGAGAUGUGGAGGAAGAAUACUAAGAUACCAGAUCCAAAAGGGAAAGAAAUGGAAGAAAGAAGAUGAACAGGAGAGGGUGGAGACAAAGGAGAAGACGAGAGCGAUUUGGUCUAAAAUUUUUGUUAAACACAUCCAAAGGUUGUACAGUGACAUAUUUCCAAUACCUGAAAAAGUUGUAAUGGCAUGUUUCUAAAUAGUUUAAUAGUAACGGUAUAUUUCAAAACUAAAGAUUUUAUAAUGGCAUCUAUCCAAUUAACCCUAAAAAAUUUGUCUCACGAAUUAGCUCUCAUUUAUGUAAUUAGUUUUGUAAGUAGUCAAUAUUUAAUACUCUAAAUUAGUAUCUAAAACAAAGACUAAAGUUUAAUCCCUGGAUCCAAACACCACCUAACAAACAAAAUAAAAAACUAAAAAAAAAACAAUUACCACACGUGUCUGUAGUCUGAACUAACCCGCACUCAUAGUAUAUGAACAUUGCCAUGAGCAGCAAUGCUAAGUUGUGAUUGCUGCCAUCCGGUUUUUUUGGGUGGGUUGGGGGGCAGCUUAUGACAGUUACAAACUUUGGAAUAUACCACGGUUCUCAAACUAAUUUUUUUCUACAUCAGCAUUGCUUAGCUUGUUCGAAGCUAUUUAUUCGGUUCAUAAUAAUAUAUAAUUUUUAAUUCAUUACUACAAACGGGAUUGCGUAGCCUAUCGAAUCAUGCAUUAAGGACAGAGCAAGUACUGCAAUGCUACGAAAAGAAUUCACUAAUAUCACAAGACCUUCCAAGAUACUGAACCACAAGAACAAAUGAAUUAUCUUGCAAUAAAAUUACGUCCCUACAUUCCAUCUCUUUCGAAAGAUACUGACCAAACGCCAGUACAGUUAACAAUACAACAUUCAGUCUGAAAAAGGAAGUUCACUAGACUAAUCUCUCGAGGUCAUAUUCAUGUCACGGGAAGUAAUUAAAGUGGGUCGCUCUAUGUUUGCUAACUACUAAUCAAAAGACAGCAGGUAAGAUAACAAAAAAAGAAAAGGGAUACUGAGGACUAAGGUAAAUAGAACUGUCGUAAGAUAAAAUUGCAGCAAAAUAUAAACACAUGCAUCACAUUGGAUUCAACGAGCAUUAAGCAACAAAACUUGAUUCAGCAGAAAGCCAAUCCUUGCUAGAGUAAAUGUCAGACGAUGAUACUUGAAUACAUUGAUAUGGUCUGCUUAAAUAA